CCAUGUGAGGACGUGGAGAGUGAGAAAUUUGAUAUUUUGGCUUGGUGGAAAAAUAAUUGCACAAAAUAUCGAAUUUUAUCUCAAAUUGCAAGAGAUGUAUAUGCCAUUCCAGUUUCUACAGUAGCAUCUGAAUCUGCAUUUAGUACCGGAGGACGUAUUCUUGAUGCAUUUCGAAGUUCAUUGGGUCCAAAGAUGAUGGAGGCUUUGAUUUGUUCACAAAAUUGGUUGAAAUCAAAUCUUAUGAGAUAUGAUUAUAGAGUUGAAGUACCAAUUGAGGAUGUUGCAUAUUAUGAUUCUAUUGAAUCAGGAGCAUCUUGUGUUACAAAACAAAAUCUACCUCCAUCUAAUUGAUCUAUGAUUGCUUGGAUGAAUGGAAUAUGGCUUUGCAUGGCAUAUUGUGAUAAUGGGAUUGUGGUUGAUGGUGGUUGCUCGUGGAAUGAAGUGUGUGGAAGAAGACUAUUUAAAAUAAUUUUUAUUUUUAUGUAUUGUUAGUUUAUUAAAUUCUAAGUUAAUUUUGAAGUUUAAGAUAUCAAAU